rnacentral:rRNA from 1 species
AUAUGAGCCUGGGAGGCAUCUCCCGGGUUGUAAAGCUCCGGCGGUGCAGGAUGAGCCCGCGGCCUAUCAGCUUGUUGGUGAGGUAACGGCUCACCAAGGCGACGACGGGUAGCCGGCCUGAGAGGGCGACCGGCCACACUGGGACUGAGACACGGCCCAGACUCCUACGGGAGGCAGCAGUGGGGAAUAUUGCACAAUGGGCGCAAGCCUGAUGCAGCGACGCCGCGUGAGGGAUGACGGCCUUCGGGUUGUAAACCUCUUUCAGCAGGGAAGAAGCGAGAGUGAUCGGUACCUGCAGAAGAAGCGCCGGGCUAACUACGUGCCAGCAGCCGCGGUAAUACGUAGGGCGCAAGCGUUGUCCGGAAUUAUUGGGCGUAAAGAGCUCGUAGGCGGCUUGUCACGUCGGUUGUGAAAGCCCGGGGCUUUAACCCCGGGUCUGCAGUCGAUACGGGCAGGCUAGAGUUCGGUAGGGGAGAUCGGAAUUCCUGGUGUAGCGGUGAAAUGCGCAGAUAUCAGGAGGAACACCGGUGGCGAAGGCGGAUCUCUGGGCCGAUACUGACGCUGAGGAGCGAAAGCGUGGGGAGCGAACAGGAUUAGAUACCCUGGUAGUCCACGCCGUAAACGGUGGGCACUAGGUGUGGGCAACAUUCCACGUUGUCCGUGCCGCAGCUAACGCAUUAAGUGCCCCGCCUGGGGAGUACGGCCGCAAGCGCUAAGAACUCAAAGGAAUUGACGGGGGCCCGCACAAGCGGCGGAGCAUGUGGCUUAAUUCGACGCAACGCGAAGAACCUUACCAAGGCUUGACAUACACCGGAAAACCCUGGAGACAGGGUCCCCCUUGUGGUCGGUGUACAGGUGGUGCAUGGCUGUCGUCAGCUCGUGUCGUGAGAUGUUGGGUUAAGUCCCGCAACGAGCGCAACCCUUGUCCCGUGUUGCCAGCAGGCCCUUGUGGUGCUGGGGACUCACGGGAGACCGCCGGGGUCAACUCGGAGGAAGGUGGGGACGACGUCAAGUCAUCAUGCCCCUUAUGUCUUGGGCUGCACACGUGCUACAAUGGCCGGUACAAAGAGCUGCGAUACCGUGAGGUGGAGCGAAUCUCAAAAAGCCGGUCUCAGUUCGGAUUGGGGUCUGCAACUCGACCCCAUGAAGUCGGAGUCGCUAGUAAUCGCAGAUCAGCAUUGCUGCGGUGAAUACGUUCCCGGGCCUUGUACACACCGCCCGUCACGUCACGAAAGUCGGUAACACCCGAAGCCGGUGGCCCAACCCCUUGUGGGAGGGAGCUGUUCGAAAGGG